rnacentral:tRNA from 1 species
GCGAAAUUGUUAAAACAGCUACUGGUACAAAUUGCGCUUUCCCGGCCUGUCACGCCGGAGGUCGCGGGUUCGAGCCCCGUCUCUCGCGCCA